rnacentral:rRNA from 1 species
CUCAAGAUGAGACUUCCCCGGGGCCUCGAGCCCCCUGAAGGGUCGUUGAAGACCACAACGUUGAUAGGUCGGGUGUGGAAGCGUAGUAAUGCGUUAAGCUAACCGAUACUAAUUGCCCGUGAGGCUUGAUCCU